rnacentral:rRNA from 1 species
GACGAACGCUGGCGGCGUGCUUAACACAUGCAAGUCGAACGGAAAGGCCCUGCUUUUGUGGGGUGCUCGAGUGGCGAACGGGUGAGUAACACGUGAGUAACCUGCCCUUGACUUUGGGAUAACUUCAGGAAACUGGGGCUAAUACCGGAUAGGAGCUCCUGCUGCAAGGUGGGGGUUGGAAAGUUUCGGCGGUUGGGGAUGGACUCGGGGCUUAUCAGCUUGUUGGUGGGGUAGUGGCUUACCAAGGCUUUGACGGGUAGCCGGCCUGAGGGGGUGACCGGCCACAUUGGGACUGAGAUGGGGCCCAGACUCCGACGGGAGGCAGCAGUGGGGAAUAUUGCACAAUGGGCGGAAGCCUGAUGCAGCAACGCCGCGUGCUGGAUGACGGCCUUCGGGUUGGAAACCGCUUUCGCCUGUGACGAAGCGUGAGUGACGGUAAUGGGUAAAGAAGCACCGGCUAACUACGUG